GCUUGUGACUAUUCAACUCCUACAUUCUGUCUGGAGUAACAAUUGAACAUUCAGUACCAUGCAAGCCAAUUCACAACAUUCAGGACAACUGCAAAAUUUGCAUGGAGAAGGAACUACACCUGGAAACGGGACGAGCCAGAACUUUUACCAGCUAUGUUUACCACCUCCCACUGCAAGUCCCUCAUAUUCUGGACAAACUGCCACCGGAAAUUACUUCACCUGCACAGUUCAACCAGCAACCAGUGACCAGAUUUUGGCUAGUGGCGUUCAAGCUACCAAAGGCACAAAGCUUGCACAAGAAAAUCAGCCUAAUGCAAACCAUAUGUUGCCAACAGGAAAACAGGACUCCCAAAUUAUUCUGUGGAACAUGCCCUCUAAUUGCCAGAUAUUCCUACCUGUUAACAACAUAAAUCUACAAGGUGCUCCCAACAAUAAUGGGCCAAACAUGACACAUUGUGCCUUUAACUCAACUAACAGUUUAUACAUGCAACCACAAACUACCUCCUCAGCAGCUGGCCCACAUAAUUUGCAACAGUUUAAAACAAUAGACACUCAAAGUCUUAAUGAACCUAGAAUAAAUGUGAACACAAGCAACUUGCAUAGCAGGCAGCACUAUGCAAAUGCUCCUACUAAAUUGCCAAAAGACUCCUCGAAAACAAGGAAAAGCUUGCCAUCUAACCUAAAUUAUUGUCCUCCAACAGAAAAUGCACAUCAUGGCCAAAGUAGUUUGUUUGGUGGAUACCUUUACCAGUUGUUGUUUGCUGAAAAUACAAAUAAUGCUAACGUGCAAAUGCUUUCUACCUGUGCACAGAACCUGCAAUCGAAUAAUGCUGCUCAGAGAGCUGUUGCCGUUGUCCCACCAUUGUCUCCAAUAGGAACAGCACCUGUUAAUGUAUUAGACAAAUCUGCUAAUGUGAAAAUGAAUGUAAACCCUGUGCAAGAGACUGUACACCUUCAACCAAAUAUUCCACAUCCUCUGGUGUCCAACGCUAAUCUGAUGAACCAAACGGGAGAACCAAAUGACCCAACAAGCAAGCAUCAACGACCAAAGUCAGCAGAACCAAGGCUGAAUGAUGGCCUUUGCAACGUAGUUGGAGCCAAGAGUCCGGUUUUGGCUAAUGAAUCAACUGACCAAAGUCCGAACCUGAAAUGUGUGGUUGCAGAACAAAACGAGUCUGUUCCAGCUCAAAUGCAAAAUGAAUCGGCUGAAAAGAUGAAUAAAAACUGUACAGUCAUGGACAAAAAAACAAUUGACCCGGACACUGUUCCUUUUAUUGAAUGGCCAUUAGAUCGAUUGCAGACCUUAAUGGCCGUGAUUCAGCAAAUAGAAAAUGGGGAUCAGAAGAACAUCCACAUAACUGAUCCUGGGAAGGACAUCUUAAAACUUUACUGGAAUGGGGAUACUCGCAAGUUUUCUGAAGUUGUAGAAAGUGGCAUAUAUCAAAGCAUAAUGGAAGAAGUUUAUAUUUACUCUCCGAUGAACGAGCCUGUGAUACUGAGGCAAAUUGUAAAUGAUGCACGUAGCAAAGUCAUUGAGAAUUUUCACGUUUUAAAACACAACGAAGUGCCACCGAAGAUGACGUACACGUCGUCCUGGUUGAAUCUUAAUGAAAACGUUGAUGACAUCGACAAGGAAUGUGGUUAUUCUUGGUUCUAUAAGUCUUUUCAAAAUGUCCCCGAACACGAAGCACAAAACUCGGCAUGUGAAGCACCAAGCAAAUUGCAAGAAGCCACUGAAAAGCCAUCAUUGAUUGGGACUAAACAAUUACCAUCAGCGGUGGAGAACAAAGUACCAGCAGAUGAACCAGCAUCAAACAAGGAGAGUCUACAUGAAACCGUGCCCGUUUCAUUUAAUGGACAAUCAUCACCUGUGGCUAACAUCAACUGCUCACCGAAGCAUAAUUGUCAGGUUACAGAACUAACCAACAGUCAACCAAUUAUUGCAAAAUCUCUGGAGGCCAUGGUGGAUUUGGGUGAACAAGGUGUCCCUACUGGAAAGUCAAGUUUGGAUAACCAAUUUGGAACCAAGAGUGUUUUGUCGCCCAAAUCAAUUGGCCAAAAUGACUAUACAAACUCCCCAAAGCCCAUUCAUGUGGUUGCAAAACAACAGGAGAUUGCGUUAUCUUCUGAAAUGCAAGUUAGAUCCAGUCAAAAAAUGCUUAAUGAAUGUGCCGUUCUUGAUAAGAACGUGAGAUAUGAGACCACGCCAAAACCUAGUCAAGAAACUCCUGUGCAAGUGAAUGAAUUGGAGACUGACAAGAUGGAUUCUUCAGCCACUAAGAUGAACGUUCUCCCUCAUGAAAUGGCUAGGCAGUGCUUUGCUAAUGAGAUGAAAGGACAUCAAAUCAUUGCUGCAUUUCCAGACAAGCACAAGGCGCCUUUGUUGAACACAACCCAAGUACUUGACACAAAAUCAACAGAAGAACCAAUAAGCAGGCAGAAGCUAGAGGAGAAGGCCAAAUAUUCAGCAUCCAGAGUUCUAGCAUUGCUAUCAGAACAGUACAAGUCAUCUUUAGCUGAACAUAUUCCAUUUACAGACAAAGUACAACAAGAACAAAUCUCCUCCAAGAAAAAUAUGUACGAUGAGAUUCGUGAAGAAUCUCCUGUUCCCUCGAACGCUCAGUCUCCAUCAGUGAUUGAUAACGUCUCUCCGAAGAUUAAUGAACAACCAAAUACUGUUAAUCCACUGAACAGCAUGAGAAACCUGGUGAGGACACUGGAAAAACGAAAUGUUUCAUUAAUAAAGUAUAAAAAAUUAAUUGAAAAACAUGGUGGUUUGAAAAAGCAUAAAAAGUCAUCUAGAACAUCAAAACUGGACACCAGUUUUGGUAAUAGUGUUGGAGCCCAAAGUCCCAUUUUGAUUGAUGAAACAUCCAGCGAAAGUGACUGCACAAUCGAAGCAUCGACGCUUAGUCCUGUGGUUGAAAAACGGCAGUUUGUUCCAUUAACCCAAGUGCAAAAUGAAUCCAGUGAAAUGAUGCUUAACAGUAAAAUUGAUAAAACCCUAAGAUGUGAGACUGAUCCAAAACCUUGUCAAGAUUUUUACGUACAAAUCAAUGAUGAGAAGAUUGUUGAGAUGGAUGCUUCAUCUUAUUUUAAGCUUGAUGUUCUUACUCAGGAAAUGGCUAAACGAUGCUUUGCUGAAAAUAAAGACAUUGCUCCAACACCAAAGAAUGCAAUAUUAAGGCUGGAUGACCCUCUUUGUAAUCGAGCCAAAAGUCCAGUGUUGGCUCAUGGAUCAACCAGGCGAAUUGACUAUGCACGUCCGCCAAAACUUUAUCCAGUGCUCACGGGACCAUCUCAAAUGCGAAAUGAAUCUGAUGAAGAAAUGCCUGAAAUCGACUGUGUACUCGCAGAGGACUCUGUGAGAUGUGAGACUGAAUCAAAACCCAGUCUAGAACUUUCUAUGAAGAUGAAUGAAGAGGAGUUUGUCGAGAUGGAUGCUUCAGCUUCUAUUAAGAUUAACGUUCUCCCUCAUGAAGUGGCUAUGCAAUGCUUUGCUGAUCAGAUGAUUGAAGAUAAAGACACUGCUGCACCACUGGAGACAAUGCACUGGGCCUGUUUGUUGAAUUCACCCCAAGACACAGUAUCAACAAAAGAACAGAUAAACAUGGGGAGGUUGGAAGAAACUGAUAGAGCUGGAAGUCCAAGGCUGACUGAUGGAUCAACGAGCCAAAGUAUCUGUGAAAGUCCACCGAAACUUUAUCCUGUGAUCGCAGAACCAUCUCAAAUACAAUUUAAGUCCAGUGAAGAAAUGCCUGAAAUUGACUGUAUGCUCACAGAUGAGAGAGUGAGAUGCGAGACUGAUCCAAAACCUAGUCAAGAACGUCCUGUGAACAUGAAUGAAGAGGAAACUGAGAAGAUUGACAGUUUAAACUCUACUAAGAUCAAUGUUCUCCCACAUGAAAUGGCUGAGCUUUGGUUUGCCAGUGAAAUGGAAGAUAAAGACUUGCAGAAAGAUAUUGCAGUUCAUAUUUCCACUGAAGACAAGGUGAAAGGUCAAGUCCUGGAACUCAAGUCUGAAAAAGAAGUGCUCCUAAAAGAUGUGAAGCCAAAAGAGUGGAAAUAUCAAAGUUCUGGUGGUGAAAGCUUGGAGUCUUACUGUUGUCUUGCUAAAUGGUUUCAAACUUUAGAAUGUGGAGAUGGCUCAGUGUGCACGUGCCAGAUAAAAGCUGAAUUGAGAGAAGAGAUUAAAACUGAGGCCCACAGCACAAGUUUAGAGGUGCAGACUAAAAAAGACAGUCCAGGUGAAUGUGAACAGGUGGAAAUGGAUAAUGCUGCUCUUGAAAGAACAGACGAUUCUGAAGCCACAGACGAUUCUGAGGAUGAAUACCCAUUGCUGCACGAUCCUUCUACAGACAAGGCAAAGGACAUUUCAAGUUCUGAAGAGGUCAGUAAGGUAGAGACUGAAACUUCAGAGCAGAAAAGAAAUGAAUCGCCCACAGAAUGUGCAGCAAACAUGGAUCUUAUGAAUGAGAUUGAGCAAGACCCCCCGGCUCCUGAUUUGAAGAGCAAGACUAAUACAGUAUAUCUUGCACUGUAUGGGUCAUCUUCUGAAAAAAGAAACAAACUAAAGCGAACUAAAAGAUACAAAGAGAAAGUAAGUUGUGAAGAACCCCCAAAAACUGUUCAAGUAACUAUAAGCUCUCACCAGGAGAUUAAAGACAAGGACGAGUCAAACAAAUGUGUGGAAACACAAGAUGAAGAUGCUAUGGUUAGGCAAGUGAAAAUACAAAGAGCAAUCCUGCAAAACAUGGUUCAGCAUAAAAUCUUCCCCUUGCAUUCCGUUUUUGGACUCGGCAAAAAUGGACUUUCAUCUACCUCAGUCAGAAAACUUCUCAGCCCAAGUGCUCUUGUGAAGAGUGACACCCAUUUGGCUGAAGAAAAUAAGCGAAAGAGACUAUGUAAGAAUGCAACACAACAAAUGUCUAUGAAUCAAUAUAUCAUCAGAGGGAAGACUGUGCCAACCAAAUUAUUUCAUUCACCUGAGAAUGUGGCGAAAAGUAAAUAUGAGUUGGGGAACCCUGUUUUGAUGCCAUUGGAUGAGGGUCCUGCUUUGGAAUUCAGAGUAUUGCCAGAGUCUUUUAACUUUGAAGAUGGAGCUGAACCUAAUUGCGCUCAAGGCGACACGUCACAAAGUACGCAAAAUGGGAUGUCAGGCCUAGAAAAAAAAGCUAAAAGGAUGAAAACUAGCCAUGUGCCAACCCAAGGUGUUUGGAGUUUCAGCCCGUUGAAGAAAAAGCACACUCAAUCCAUCCAAUCCACCGAUGUCUCCGGUUCAUGUAGCCUCUUCCAAGAGUUCAAGAAGAAAUAUCAAAAAAGAAGUACAUUGCCUUCAAGCAGAACUUGA
ensembl:lncRNA